rnacentral:rRNA from 1 species
GACGAACGCUGGCGGCGUGCUUAACACAUGCAAGUCGAACGAAGAGCGAUGGAAGCUUGCUUCUAUCAAUCUUAGUGGCGAACGGGUGAGUAACGCGUAAUCAACCUGCCCUUCAGAGGGGGACAACAGUUGGAAACGACUGCUAAUACCGCAUACGAUCUGACCUCGGCAUCGAGGAUAGAUGAAAGGUGGCCUCUACAUGUAAGCUAUCACUGAAGGAGGGGAUUGCGUCUGAUUAGCUAGUUGGAGGGGUAACGGCCCACCAAGGCGAUGAUCAGUAGCCGGUCUGAGAGGAUGAACGGCCACAUUGGGACUGAGACACGGCCCAGACUCCUACGGGAGGCAGCAGUGGGGAAUCUUCCGCAAUGGACGAAAGUCUGACGGAGCAACGCCGCGUGAGUGAUGACGGCCGUCGGGUUGUAAAGCUCUGUUAAUCGGGACGAAAGGCCUUUUUGCGAAUAGUGAGAAGGAUUGACGGUACCGGAAUAGAAAGCCACGGCUAACUACGUG